CAUAGGUAAACUUCUGGAAUCAUGCGAUGGAAGAUUCUUGAUUGAAGAGGUAGAAUAUAACUUGUUGAUUCUUGCAGGCUUGAUAGGCAGCGGCAGAGGAAGAUCACAAAUUGGCCUGUCCAUCAUAGCGGCCACAUCACAGCGUUCCAACACUGUUUGGAAGCGACACGGAAUGCUGGCCCUGUGGAGAUUGUGCCUCAUGACUUGGCCGCUUUCAACAACUAUCUCCAAUGGUUUCAUCAAAGCACGCGUAUCGAGUUAGUGAAGCACGCGUAUGAUGACGACAUCUUGGACGACCCCAUCGAGUUCGAUGAGGUUGCGCAAAGCCAGCACGACACCUUUGCUCGCAGAGGGAGAUCGACUUCUAUUGCUUCCGAGCUGAACUUCGUGCGGACGGAGAUCCAAAAAACAGCUGACGAGUGCGAGAUUAUGUGGGACCAGAGCGGGAGAGAUGAAAAGCCUGUCGGACUGUUGCGGCAUUUCAUUAAGAACACUGCACGAAAGAUGCGGCGGUUAGCCAACUUGCUAGGUUGCCGCGAAGGCGAAAUUCUUACAUCCUCCUCUUCUGAAGAGCGGGAGGUAUGGACUAUUUUGUUGCUGUCAAACAUGUUCUUACUAAUUUCAACUUUUGUAAUCUCAUGUGUUCAUGUUUGUGAAGAUUCCUGAGGA